GUAGGGAAUAUUGGGCAUUGGAUGCAAGUCUGACCCAGCCAUCCCGCGUGCCGGAAGAAGGCCCUCAGGGUUGUAAACGGCUUUUGACGGUGAAGAAUCGACAGGAUGCGUCCUGUUUUGACGGUAGCCGUUGAAUAAGCACCGGCUAACUCCGUGCCAGCAGCCGCGGUAAUACGGAGGGUGCGAGCGUUGUCCGGAUUUAUUGGGUUUAAAGGGUGCGUAGGCUGGAAGGUCAGUCAGCGGUGAAAAGCUGUCGCUUAACGAUAGUCUUGCCGCAGAUACUUCCUUUCUUGGAUGAGGAGGAGGCCACUGGAACGGAUGGUGUAGCGGUGAAAUGCAUAGAUAUCAUCCAGAACACCGAUUGCGAAGGCAGGUGGCUGUACCUUAAUCGACGCUGAUGCACGAAAGCAUGGGGAGCAAACAGGAUUAGAAACCCGAGUAGUCC
rnacentral:rRNA from 1 species